UUCUUGUUUUAAAUAAAAUAUCUGGAGCCACAUAUUGAAUUCCCAGGUGUCCAGGAUCCUCUCCCCUCCCUCCAGUUUAUAGAGCUGCUGCUUUGAACAGAAAGGGGGACAUUUCUGGCACCAAAGAAAACAGGAUUCACUCGUGGGAAUCUCAAAGUGUGACCAGGGUUUCGUUUUGGCAACUUCAGCAAAAAGUGGAUUAAUAAAUCGGAGACUACAUAUUAAGAAGAAAAAAACACACCAAGAAACCUUCUAUCAUUUUGUGUUCAAUUUUGCCUACAGUAAGUAGAUGGAGGUAAUGUUUUGCUUCAGUAAAAAGCGAUUUUUUUAAUUGCCUAGAAAUUAAGAUUGCCAUGUUGUUCAAAUCUGUUGAUAUAGAAGCCAGUAUAGAAUUAUUCAAGUGGAAUCUUGUAUUCUGAGCAGAGCUUAAUUUUCCAUUAAGGAAAAAAGAUUAGCUUCUGUUUGUGUUGUGAUGUGUGGAAUUCCCAUGCUGAAUCAAACAUGCUGGUAGACAUUCUAGAGACUCUGUAAAUAAUUCAGCCUUUAAUGUGUCAAUUUAUAUGUUAAAAUUUUUCUAUUAUGUGA